AAGAAAAGUGAAAUCCUUAUUGAGCACACAGAACGGGCUCCGAGAAGCAUCAAGGCUAGCGAUGAAAACCUCCUCAGGAUGCACCUGGGAGGGCUUCCUGGAGGAGCCAGAGAUGGAGGAGAGGACGAUGGAGCAGCAGCUGCAAGUCACAGAAUGGCAAGGGUUAGGUGACACAGUAGACCUAGAGGAACAAGGGGCAAAGGCAGGCCCCCCAAGACUCUGUUCCGGCCUCAGUCUGAGGGACAGCAGAGAGCCACUGGGAGAUUUUAUAAAACACAGACCCAUGUGUAUGAGCAGAAGCGCAGGAACUUGUAGCUUAGAGGACAGAUGGUGAGCGCCGAUGAGUGCCGGAGGCAGGCGGCCAAGGCCUAGUGAAGCAAAAGAAAAUGCUGAGCUCAAGGGAAGAUGGAGAGGAGGGGGAAUGCCGGCUGCUGCCGCUGAGCAGACCAGCAAGCUGGAAGGCUGAGUAGCCCAGGGCGUCUAGAAGGACGGCCUCUGUCUUUAGAACCCAGAGGAUACCCACUUCUGUGGGACUUUACUUCCUAGGAAAUUGAAGCCUCCUGCAGGCCAGGAACAAGCCUUCCUCCCACUGUACGGAGGCACCGAAUACAGGACUGGCCAAAGCUGGGCAAGCAAGUAUCUUUGGCCAGUGAAGCCGCUUGUCUAGAGGACCUGAUGCUUUGCUUGUAGAGGAGGACCUGAGUAAGAUGGCUACCGGGAUUGGUGCUAAAGAUGGCUAUGGAAGCCAUCUCAGGGCAGCCGGAAGCUACCCAGAAUCCCCUAGGUGUGUCUGCCUUGGAGAGUGAAAGGGGGCGGGGUAAUCAGAGCUCAUUAAAAAAAAAAAGGCAAAUAAACAGAAGUCAAAACCGUGUGACUCAGGGAGCAUCAGGACAUCUGCAUAGAGAUGCCAUUCGAGCUUUGGAGGAUGAGUAUGAGUUUUGUGAGUUUUGUCGUGCUGAGAACAAGGGAGAAGGGCAUCGGAAGUUGAGGAGAGAAAGUGGGAAAGCAUUAGGGCAUGGUCGCCUCUGUCAUGAUCAGGCACACUGAGGCUGUUCAUAGGCACUCUUCUUUAUAACAUGAUUUGUAACCUACAGCCCAAGCUAGCCUAUGUUUAAUUUUACAUGUAACUCAAUGCAUGAUCCAAAGAGCUCAGACUAGAGCUACGUAAAUAGUAAAUACCGCUACAAGUAAGAGGUAGGAACUCCCGCACCUCUGUCUAGGGCAUACCCUGAAACGGAGGGUCCUGGACUCCCAGCCCAAAAGCACAGUGCCGAGGAAGAGUGUGGUUGAGCACGCUGCCCUCCAUGACUGACAACAGCCAGGUGACUCUGUAUGCACCCUCCUCCAGUGGGCCCCAGCAGUGCCCUCGAAAACACCUUUUUGCCAACCUCAGGGGCCACUGCAUCUCCUCCUGUGGUCUCUCUCCAGUUUAAGCCCCUGACUCCAUCUGUGUGUGUUCUCAAGCCUGCCUCCAAGUGGAGCAAAGCAAGAUAGGCACAGUGGCUGGAGCACAGGCCGGGUGGUACUGACCAUGGGAAUGCUUACAGCUCUGAGUCCCUCCUUCAGGCCGAUCCUACACGUGGCACCAGAGGACUGGGCAUCUUGCCGGGGCAUCGUGCUUAUCCAGGUGUCCUUUCUAUCUACGGAGAUGAAGAUGUGACAGAAGGAGGGAGCCAGCAGCCAUGUGAGGGACCUAGAGUGUCUCCUGUCUGCCUUCAGAGCCCAUCACAUGGGUCCUGGGGAUGGCAGAUUGAUGUUCCUAAUUACAUUUGGCUCAAGAUAACAUUAAGUGUUUGUCUUGUUCCCAGAGCCCACAACAACAGCAGACAGCGCGGAAGGUGCCAAGAGGCAUGCUGGGUAACCGAGGAUGGCAAUCUGGGAUGUGAGAGGGGUGAUGGGUGUUGGUUGCUGGUGUUCUUGGCUGGCCCUUCAGUACUUUCUAAUAGGGCCAUAGGGCUGGAUGGAGAAGCCUGGCAAUGAUGGUUCCAUUCUCCUGUCUUAAGGCUCUCCUGUUCAAGACUACCAUCCUGACAUGGAAUCCAAAUCCUUCUGAUAAUGACCAACUGGCUGAUGGGAAAUGUUAUGGGUCUCCUUUACAUUUCUUCUGCUGAUAGAACACUUAUUUUGCUUGAAUUGGUGUGUAUGUGUGUGUUGCUGGUAAUGGAACUGAGAGCCUUAAUAUGCAUACUAGGCAAGCAUGCCAUCCUAGAGAUACACCCUAUCUUUGAGUAUGUAUGCAUAUGUGCGCAUGUUUAUGAUGGCCAGAAGUCAACGAUGGGUGUUUCUCCUUCCUCCUCUGCCUUUAUUUUUGUUGUAAUUGAGACAGGGUCUCUCUCUCUCUGAACCCAGGGCUCAUUGGUUAGCUAGACAGGCUGGGCUGCAAGUUCCAGGGACCAUCUUACCUUCACCUGAUUCACACUGAGAAUACAGGUAUGCACUGCAAUACUUAGCUGGGGAUUUGAACUCAGGGCCUCAGGCUUCCCUGGCAAGCACUUUCACUGACUAAUCCAAUCUCCCCCGCUCCAUACAUCAUCCUUGAUUUGUUCCUGGUGACAUUAAACUUUUCCUGGAGCCUUAUGCAUACUGGGCAAGCACCCUAUCAUUGAGAUGCAGUGUGUGUGUGUGUGUCUCUGUGUGUGUGUGUGUGUGUGUGUGUGCUAUGUACAUGCUUGUGAUGGCCAGAAGUCCACAAUGGGUAUCUUUCUCAAACAUUCUUUGCCUUUAGUUUCGUUAUUGUUGAGACAGGGUCAUGCAGGAAGAUAAAUCAUACCCAGGGGCCAGCUAGCUCCCUGCUGUACUGUCCCAUGUGGAGACAACCCAGAGACUCUGAACUAAGUGUACAGUGGUUGGAUGUCAGAGACCUAGUAAAGUUGCUGCAAGGCCCCUGGAGACGGACAGGUGUUUAUACCCUUCCCAAGAUGCAGAAGAAGUUCAAAGAUGGCAGCAGCUGUGGAGGAACUCUGUAACUCACAGACACAAGUCCUGGCUCUGUCACUGUGUCAGACCAGGUACGUCCCCCCACGAAAUCUGCUCAUUCUUAGGGAUGCCCCCCCAAAAAACCCAAAACACCAACAAAAACUAAGAUAAAACAAAACAAAAAAAACUGUAAAUAAAAAUAUCGGGAUC